CUCUCUCUCUCUCUCUCUCUCACCGUCUGAUCUGAGAGGCGGUCUCUUCUCUUCUAUAUAUUUUGAUUGAGGACCCUUCUCUUGGUAGCAACAAUACUGAGCGGAAACAGAAGAAAGAAGAUAAUUUUAUCUGAUCAAAAGUAAAAAAGAAGGACAAAGCAAAACAUGGGACAUGGUGAAAAGGGUCGACCCAACAAGAAGCUCAAAUCCUCUAAGGAUGAGCACAGGAGCACAACUAUGGAAGACGAUGACUUUUAUUUCGGUGAAGAAACAGAAGAUGAUUAUCGCGAUGACGGCGAUAAGGAAGGGAAGAAGAGGGAUUUUAGCAAAUUAGAACUGAAACUAGACCACGCCAAUCGGCCGCUAUGGGCCUGCGCCGAUGGUCGCAUUUUCCUCGAGACUUUCUCCCCUUUGUACAAACAAGCCUACGAUUUCCUCAUCGCCAUUGCCGAGCCCGUUUGCAGGCCUGAGUCAAUGCACGAAUACAAUUUGACUCCACAUUCAUUAUAUGCUGCUGUGUCAGUGGGUCUUGAAACUGAAACCAUAAUAGCUGUUUUGAACAAGUUGUCCAAAACAAAGCUGCCCAAAGAGAUGAUUGAUUUUAUUCAUGGUUCUACUGCCAAUUACGGCAAAGUGAAGCUUGUGCUUAAGAAGAAUCGGUACUUUGUUGAAUCACCAUUUCCAGAGGUACUGAAAAGGUUGUUGAAAGAUGAAGUUAUAUCUCGUGCAAGAAUGACCUCUGAGGUGCAUGGAAAUGAUGGUUUUACAAUAAGUAAAACUGCUGGAGAAAUUGCAACUGGUCAUGAUGGGUUGCUAAAUGAAGCAGAAUUGGCAGCUGCAGCAGAAGAAAAAGAAACUCACUCAUUUGAGAUUGAUCCUUCUCAGGUUGAAAAUGUAAAACAGCGGUGCUUGCCAAAUGCUUUAAAUUAUCCAAUGUUGGAGGAGUAUGACUUUAGAAAUGAUACUGUCAAUCCUGAUCUUGACAUGGAACUGAAGCCUCAUGCACAACCACGACCAUAUCAAGAAAAGAGCCUUAGUAAAAUGUUUGGAAAUGGUAGAGCAAGAUCUGGCAUCAUUGUACUACCAUGUGGUGCUGGAAAGUCCUUAGUUGGUGUUUCUGCAGCAUGUCGAAUAAAGAAAAGUUGCCUUUGUUUAGCAACAAAUGCUGUAUCUGUGGAUCAGUGGGCCUUUCAGUUCCAGCUCUGGUCUACCAUCCGAGAUGAACAAAUUUGUCGAUUCACAUCUGAUAGCAAAGAAAGAUUUCAAGGCAAUGCUGGGGUUGUUGUGACAACAUAUAACAUGGUUGCUUUUGGUGGUAAACGAUCUGAAGAAUCUGAAAAAAUUAUUGAAGAAAUAAGAAAUAGAGAAUGGGGACUGCUUCUUAUGGAUGAGGUCCAUGUGGUUCCUGCUCACAUGUUUCGUAAAGUUAUUAGCCUCACUAAAUCUCACUGCAAACUUGGGCUUACUGCCACACUUGUCAGAGAGGAUGAAAGAAUUACAGAUUUGAACUUUCUAAUUGGUCCCAAAUUGUAUGAAGCAAACUGGUUGGAUCUAGUGAAAGGAGGAUUUAUAGCAAAUGUCCAGUGUGCUGAAGUAUGGUGUCCAAUGACCAAGGAGUUUUUUGCUGAAUAUCUGAAGAAAGAAAACUCCAAGAAGAAGCAGGCACUAUAUGUGAUGAACCCCAAUAAGUUCAGGGCAUGUGAGUUUCUGAUACGUUUCCAUGAACAACAGCGAGGUGACAAGAUAAUUGUGUUUGCUGACAAUCUCUUUGCACUUACUGAGUAUGCAAUGAAACUUCGCAAACCUAUGAUUUAUGGUGCUACCAGCCAUGCUGAGAGGACAAAAAUUCUUCAGGCUUUCAAAACUAGCAAGGAAGUAAAUACAAUUUUUCUGUCAAAGGUGGGUGAUAAUUCAAUAGAUAUUCCUGAGGCAAAUGUGAUAAUUCAGAUUUCGUCACAUGCUGGUUCUAGACGACAAGAAGCCCAACGAUUAGGGCGUAUUCUUAGGGCAAAGGGUAAACAUCAAGAUAGGAUGGCAGGUGGCAAAGAAGAGUACAAUGCGUUUUUCUAUUCCCUUGUUUCUACUGAUACACAGGAAAUGUACUACUCCACCAAAAGGCAGCAGUUCUUGAUUGAUCAGGGUUACAGCUUUAAGGUGAUAACAAGUUUGCCUCCACCUGAUUCUGGUGCUGAUUUGAGUUACUACCAUCUUGAUGAGCAAUUGGCACUCCUAGCGAAGGUUUUGAAUGCUGGAGAUGAUGCUGUGGGCUUAGAGCAGCUAGAAGAAGAUGCAGAUGACAUAGCACUUCAUAAAGCUCGUCGCUUCAUGGGUUCAAUGAGUGCAAUGUCAGGUGCAAAGGGAAUGGUUUAUAUGGAAUACAGUACUGGACGGAACAAACUCGGCGGGCAGGGCCAAGUUAAGAGUAAACCCAAGGAUCCAUCCAAGCGGCAUUAUCUGUUCAAAAGACGCUAUGGCUAAGAUGACAAAUGAACACCAUAAUGGCUGUUCUUGUGUUCUUUUUACAUACCAAGAGAUGAGUGUGAAGGACCAAAGGUGCUCUCAAACUAGGAUUUUCUUACGGUUUGGUAUGUAUUAAAAAAUUAUGUAUGCUGAUGCUAUACUUGCAAGAUUCCAUACAGAAGUAUAAUGCUUGCAAUUACUUCUUUGCACAUUCUACUUGAGUGUGCCAUAUUGAAAGUACAUGAUAUGAAGUCUUUCUUUACAAUUCGACAAAAGAGAUGCAUGGAUGUAGGAAUUGGUAGGAACAAAUUAUCAAAAAG
rnacentral:misc_RNA from 1 species